CAUGUAGGCGGCUGGUCAAGCAUCUUGUGAAAUCCCUCGGCUCAACCGAGGAAUUGCGAGGUGAACUGACCGGCUUGAGCUGCACAUGGGUGACUGGAACUCUAGGUGGAGUGGUGAAAUACGUAGAUAUCUAGAGGAACGCCGGUGGUGAAAACGGGUCACUGGAUGCAUGCUGACGCUGAGAUGCGAAAGCGUGGGUAGCGAACAGGAUUAGAUACCCUGGUAGUCC
rnacentral:rRNA from 1 species